UAACACUUUUUUUUCUUGGCGAGAUUGAAUACUUACCGAUUUCCACAAACAAACAUUCCAACGGACCGUAAGGUCACAUAUUACAAAGUGUACAGUAUUUCCUUUGUCACUUGAUUGUGUCAUUGUAAAUGAUUCACUGAGUUUUGAUUAACUUCUAUUAAAAUUAAUUACAUUGUUUUGGUACACAGAGCAAUAAAUAACCUCACUUUUUGAAUGUCUCCGUUUGACAGAUCAAUGCGUUACGUUUCAUUCUUUUAGUAAAAAAAAAAGUGUAUAACAAAAUUAAAUGUUCAAUACUAAAUUUUUAUAAAACUUAAUAUUUGGGCUCUUUAAUUUAAAUUCUAGCUAUUUACAGUAUUUUCCUCAAUGUUUAUAUUAAAAUAACAUUGUAAUGUAUCUUGAUCGAUCAUGGAUUCGGAACGUUCUAGAAAUUUGACAUAUUCUGAGUGAAACGAAACACACAGGUGACGUUCAGAAACUUGCUUGUUUGUUAUUUUUUUUUUCUUUCUAAAGUUUAAUUAUUUAAUUAAAUUUAAAUGAGAGAAGCAGUAUUGUGAGUUCCCAUAUCGAAAUUAUUCAAUAAGAGGCUAGUUAACACAAGUGGCAUUUAUUGAAAGUAAAGAAAAAAAUUAUACAAAACUGCUAGAUAUUGUGAUUUGUUGGAGUGACAAGUUUUCGAACGAACAUCUGAGUCACGGGUGAUGACCGGCGCUUUUUGGAGUGUCGAAGUCUUUUGCUUGGUUGGGGUGAUCGCGAACGGAAGUUCUGUUGUACGUGGUGUGAUAGUGUCCCGAAUUCCAAGAGGUCUGAACCGUGCCGUUCCCUGAUAAACGGGCAGGGCACGCAUCGCCAUCCUCUACGUUAAAAGGGAAUUUUAGAAUAAAUCCGAAAGCCCCGUGAUUUUGCGGACUCAUUGCCACGUGCUGAGUUCUGUUACUGAAGAUUUUGGUUGGACAGUGCUCGGUGGCGAGCUCUGCGCUGUGUCCUGCUUUAGCGGCUGUCGCCGGAUUUUCCCUCCGUUGAAGGAGGUGUUUGGCACCGGCUGUCCCGCAGUGCCAGACGCUUGCUGCGCCCGACGGGUGCAGAGGGGGUUGAGCCGAGUGGUGGCGACUAGCGCGCUAGUAAUCUUAAGUAUUUUUAAUCAGUACCAACCAAACGGCCCAACGACCCAUCCCUUAAUUUUUCUUUUUAAAUAUUUGUGUCUAACCCACAAUUAAAUUGUUGUCAAUUUAAAA